UUUACAUAUUAAUCCUCAAUUUUUUGCUAGUUUACAUUAAAACUGAUUCGCACGUCGUGAAAAUCAUCAAGGUUUAUCGUACGUGCCUUCUAACUUGAUUCUUCUUUAUUAAAAAAAAAAAAAAAAAAAAAAAAAAAAAGAAUUGUAUAUCGAUCGGUAAACUUAUCGACCGAUAAACUUACCGACGUGAAACAGAAUUAAUCUCAAAAUAGUACGGUAGAGAAAAUGAACGAUCGUACGUAACGUACGAGAGGAUCUUUACAGUAGACGAACGUUGGAUCUGAAAAAAAGAAAAAAAAAAAAGAAAAAAAAACGACAUUUUGAUUUAACGUUAAUAUUACGAAUGAAAGUAAGUAUGUAAACACCAAAGAAAAAAUUGAACGUAUAGUUUAUAUCGAACGCUUACAAUACUAUUACGAUGGUAGUGAUUGUCGAAAAUAAUAAACACAUUCUCCUCGAUUCGUUCGUCGAAUCUUGAUCCUCACCGAUUAAUUACGCAGUGUAACGUACAUAUCUGAAAACUCUUAACAUCGAUAAAGAAUAGGAAGAAGAAGAAGUAGAAGAAGAAGAAGAAGAAGAAGAUGAAGAAGAAGAAGAAGAAGAAGAUGAAGAUGAAGCAGUAUUUAUCAUUUUUAUGCUUUUUAACGACGAAACUUCAGACUCGUUUUGAGAGUUCAGAUGGCGCUCAACGAUACAUCCGUUCAAACGUUAAUUUGAAACCGUGUGUCGUCCCUUCGAGAAAAUUCGUUUAAAUACGUAAGUACGCAUACUCUCGGUCACAUUCAUACAUAUCGACUUACUUGCUUACUUACAUUCAUACAUACACGCUCGUCGCACGCACACGUAUUAUUGAGAAUAUCCGCGAAAACGCGAAAGGCCUUUCUCUUUCUCUUUCUUCGAACACUUUUUUUCAACUGGUACUAAUUAUUAAAUAAUUAAUUAAUCCCUUCUGAGUAUCAUCGAACAUACUAUUUAUAUAAUAUUAUGUACAUUGUGUUAAAACGUGUCUUUCUUCGAGUCGAUAGCGUUGUCGAUUUUUCGUCCAGUAAGUAACCUCAAAUUUCUAUUAAGGAGUUACGGAAGUAAAGGAAGAAAAAAAAUCAACUGGCGAACAAGAUUUCUUUCAUAUGCUGUUCUUUUGGUCACGUGCUCGAAUUAAAAACAAACAACGAAAGAAGAAAAGAGAGAUCAGAGGACAGACAAUUCUAAAGUUUCGUAGACCGAAAACGAUAAGAAUACAACGACGAUGAAUUUGUUAAUUAUAUAUCAAUCAACGCUCAUGCAUUCACACACACACACACGCACGCAC